AACAUCCACAUCAGUAAGGGGAAAGAACUCAUUAAUCUAACGCAAACAUGGCGGCUAUCCGGGGAAAAUCAAGUUUUGUGUUUACAAAAAGAUUGUUUGUUCACUGUUGGUCACUUAAUGUAAGUGGGAAAAACUGAUUGGAUAAAGAUAUUAAACAGUCUUUAUAGUACAUGUGAAAUAGGAGACUCAUCUGAUUGUGGAAGUUUGUGUAGUUGAAAGGAGUUACAUACAGAUGCUGUUUUGAAUCAUAAGAAAUGACUGAUAUUAAUUCAUUUCUUCAGUUCCUCAUUAGCUUCUUCACAAGGAAUAAAUUGUGUAAGGAGUUCUAUAUUCCUAUUUAAAGACCUAACUUUUUUUUCCAUUUGAGCGUAUGAAAGCAAAUUAAUUGAAUUCAUUCUGAAUACUGAGCUUAUAUAGUUUUAUGUACAUGUAUAUGUGACUUUAUCUUUAUUUGACUUUUUAUUUAUAAGUUAUUUAAACAUUAAUAAUUUUAUUCUUUGUAUGAGAAGCUAUAAUCAAUCGACUACUAGUAUAUAUUUUUUUCUCACCUGGGAUGAAAGUCCGGGAAAGUGAGACAUAAGGGUUCCUUUUCUGGCGACGAUGGCUCUUGCAUCAACAAUUGUUAAGUUUUCUGCUUAAGUUAGUAAGUUUGACAGGUAUUACUUGUGAUAGAUCAUUGAUAUUUAAUAUAAAGUUGUAUUACUAUCAGUA